rnacentral:rRNA from 1 species
UACAGAGGUCUCAAGCGUUGUUCGGAUUCAUUGGGCGUAAAGGGUGCGUAGGCGGCGCGGUAAGUCGGGUGUGAAAUCUCGGGGCUUAACUCCGAAACUGCAUUCGAUACUGCCGUGCUUGAGGACUGGAGAGGAGACUGGAAUUUACGGUGUAGCGGUGAAAUGCGUAGAUAUCGUAAGGAAGACCAGUGGCGAAGGCGGGUCUCUGGACAGUUCCUGACGCUGAGGUGCGAAAGCUAGGGGAGCAAACGGG